CGGCGGACGGGUGAGUAAUGCCUAGGAAUCUGCCUGGUAGUGGGGGAUAACGUCCGGAAACGGACGCUAAUACCGCAUACGUCCUACGGGAGAAAGCAGGGGACCUUCGGGCCUUGCGCUAUCAGAUGAGCCUAGGUCGGAUUAGCUAGUUGGUGGGGUAAUGGCUCACCAAGGCGACGAUCCGUAACUGGUCUGAGAGGAUGAUCAGUCACACUGGAACUGAGACACGGUCCAGACUCCUACGGGAGGCAGCAGUGGGGAAUAUUGGACAAUGGGCGAAAGCCUGAUCCAGCCAUGCCGCGUGUGUGAAGAAGGUCUUCGGAUUGUAAAGCACUUUAAGUUGGGAGGAAGGGCAGUAAAUUAAUACUUUGCUGUUUUGACGUUACCGACAGAAUAAGCACCGGCUAACUCUGUGCCAGCAGCCGCGGUAAUACAGAGGGUGCAAGCGUUAAUCGGAAUUACUGGGCGUAAAGCGCGCGUAGGUGGUUCGUUAAGUUGGAUGUGAAAUCCCCGGGCUCAACCUGGGAACUGCAUUCAAACUGAUGAGCUAGAGUAUGGUAGAGGGUGGUGGGAAUUUC
rnacentral:rRNA from 1 species